rnacentral:rRNA from 1 species
GGGUUGUGAGGUUAAGCGACUAAGCGUACACGGUGGAUGCCCUGGCAGUCAGAGGCGAUGAAGGGCGUGCUAAUCUGCGAUAAGCGCCGGUAAGGUGAUAUGAACCGUUAUAACCGGCGAUACCCGAAUGGGGAAACCCAGUGUGACUCGUCACACUAUCAUUAACUGAAUCCAUAGGUUAAUGAGGCGAACCGGGGGAACUGAAACAUCUAAGUACCCCGAGGAAAAGAAAUCAACCGAGAUUCCCCCAGUAGCGGCGAGCGAACGGGGAGGAGCCCAGAGCCUGAAUCAGCAUGUGUGUUAGUGGAAGCGUCUGGAAAGACGCGCGAUACAGGGUGACAGCCCCGUACACAAAAGCGCAUGUGCUGUGAGCUCGAUGAGUAGGGCGGGACACGUGGUAUCCUGUCUGAAUAUGGGGGGACCAUCCUCCAAGGCUAAAUACUCCUGACUGACCGAUAGUGAACCAGUACCGUGAGGGAAAGGCGAAAAGAACCCCGGCGAGGGGAGUGAAAAAGAACCUGAAACCGUGUACGUACAAGCAGUGGGAGCACAGGUUUACCUGUGUGACUGCGUACCUUUUGUAUAAUGGGUCAGCGACUUAUAUUCUGUAGCAAGGUUAACCGUAUAGGGGAGCCG